rnacentral:lncRNA from 1 species
CAACUUGACGCUUCUCGACCACCUGAUAGCCGAGCCCGGGCUCAACUUGAUCGGUUGCUGUAACGAGCUGAAUGCCGGAUACGCUGCCGAUGGGUACGCUCGCUCGCGUGGGGUCGGCGCCUGUGUCGUGACCUUCACCGUUGGUGGGCUUAGCGUGCUUAACGCUAUCGCCGGUGCUUACAGUGAAAAUCUGCCGUUGAUUUGCAUCGUUGGUGGCCCAAACUCCAAUGAUUACGGAACCAACAGGAUCCUUCAUCAUACCAUUGGCUUGCCUGAUUUUAGCCAAGAACUCAGAUGCUUUCAGACUGUCAC